rnacentral:rRNA from 1 species
AACGAACGCUGGUGGCAGGCUUAACACAUGCAAGUCGAACGCAUCGCAAGAUGAGUGGCAGACGGGUGAGUAACGCGUGGGAACAUACCCUUUUCUACGGAAUAGCUCUGGGAAACUGGAAUUAAUACCGUAUACGCCCUACGGGGGAAAGAUUUAUCGGGGAAGGAUUGGCCCGCGUUGGAUUAGCUAGUUGGUGGGGUAAAGGCCUACCAAGGCGACGAUCCAUAGCUGGUCUGAGAGGAUGAUCAGCCACAUUGGGACUGAGACACGGCCCAAACUCCUACGGGAGGCAGCAGUGGGGAAUAGUGGACAAUGGGCGCAAGCCUGAUCCAGCCAUGCCGCGUGAGUGAUGAAGGCCUUAGGGUUGUAAAGCUCUUUCACCGAUGAAGAUAAUGACGGUAGUCGGAGAAGAAGCCCCGGCUAACUUCGUGCCAGCCGCCGCCGUAA